rnacentral:lncRNA from 1 species
GUGGUGCGAUGUUGGCUCACUGCAACCUCCACUUCCAGGUUCAAGUGAUUCUCCUGUCUCACCCUCCCAGGUAGUUGGGACUACAGGUGCACGCCACCAUGCUUGGCUAAUUUUUUUGUAUUUUUAGUAAAGACGGGGUUUCAUCACAUUGGUCAGGCUGGUCUCAAACUCCUGACCUCAGGUGAUCCACCUGCCUUGGCCUCCCAGAUUGCUGGGACUACAGGCGUGAGCCACCAUGCCUGGCCUGUGACUGCUUUCAUGUUACAGUAGCCGAGUGGAAUAAUUGUGACAGAGACAAUAUAGCCUACAAAGCCUAAAAUAUUUACUAUCUAACCCUUUUCAGAAGAAGUUUGCAGACCUCUGGACUAGAGGUAUCAGGAUCUCCAAUCAUGGAUAUGGGGAGAAGGUUAAAAGGCUUUUAUUUGUCAGAUUUUUAUUUUCUCUUUUAUCUAAUUCUGUUACAUCUCCCUUAGAAAGUGACCCAGCCCAAUGCCAGCCAUGUAAUAGACCAUCAGUAAUUCUUAUUGUUAAAUUUGUCUUCCUUGACCUAGUCAAUGUACAUCACAAGCCCUGAGUCAGAACUCAUAUGGUAGUAUGGUGUCAUGUAAAGAGUCAGGGCUUUGGUGCCAGACAGGCUUCCUGAGUGUGUAGCUUUGAGCCCUUUAACGACAGGCCUCAGUUCACUUAAUGGGAAUAGAAUUGUGAGACUGUACCUAGAGUGCCCCAUGCUGGGCCUAAAACAUGGGACAAGUUCGAAAAAUGGCAGCUGCUAUUAUUACUCUUCCUCAUUUGAAGGCUGACCUGGCAACCAAAGUGGAAAAGAUGAGACAGAGCAUCCUUGAAGGAAUCAACAUGAAUCAUCCACCGCCUUCUGCUCUACUUCCGUCACCUACUUUUGUGCCUCCUAUGGUGCCCUCUCUCUACCCUGUUUCACUUUAUUCCCGAGCUAUGGGCUCCAUGCCACUUCCCCCUCAAGGGAGGAGCCGGGGAUUUGCAGGUCUCCAUCCAAUCCCACCCCAAGGAGGAAAACUGGAGAUUGCUGGAAUGGUUGUGGGCCAGUGGGCUGGCAGCAGAUCCUCCAGGGGCCGAGGAUCCUUCGGCAUGCAAGUGGUUUCUGUCGGUGGGCCAGGAAAGGGGCAUGGAAAAGAACAGACUGGUAGAGGAUCCAAGGGACACAAAAAAGGAAAUAAGCAAAUGACGAAAGUGAGAGAAAACAAGGGAUGGUAGGUGAUCUUAAGUUUCUCUUAGCUAAGAUGGCUGCGGACACUGUUUUCUGCUCUAGAGGUCACCUAGCCAAGGAAAUCCUCAUUUCAGCUUGGUUUAUAGCAAGCCAUCUUCUCUGGACAGAGCUGCUGCUGACUUCCUUUUUGACUCUUCUUUUCUGUUUCAAUCAGGACAGAAAAGAAGAGUAUGAGAUAAUUAAUAAAAUCUUCCAGCUUAUUAAAUCUGGUUACACUGUAAUCCUGUCUUCCUGAGAUUAUUCCUAGGCCACAAGAGUUUUAUAUGUUCUUAAAUUCUUUUUUUUUGUAAUUUUAUUUUAUUUUUUAAAUUUUAUUUAUUUAUUUAUUUAUUUUGAGACAGAAUCUCGCUCAGUCGCCCACGCUGGAGUGCAGUGGCGCGAUCUCCACUCACUGCAAGCUC